UCGAGAAUCUUCCGCAAUGGACGCAAGUCUGACGGAGCGACGCCGCGUGACUGAUGAAGUCUUUCGGGAUGUAAAAGUCUUUUAUGAAGGAGAAAUUUUUGAUAGUACUUCAUGAAUAAGGGGUUGCUAAACUCGUGCCAGCAGCAGCGGUAAUACGAGUACCCCGAGCGUUAUCCAGAAUUAUUGGGCGUAAAGGGUGUGUAGGUGGUAAUGUUAGUCUUUCGUCAAAGCCUCCGGCUUAACCGGAGAAUUGCGGAGGAAACGGCAUAACUAGAGGGCGUGAGAGGUUUGCGGAACUCAUGGUGUAGGGGUGAAAUCCGUUGAUAUCAUGGGGAACACCAAAUGCGAAGGCAGCAAACUGGCACGUUUCUGACACUGAAACACGAAAGCGUAGGUAGCG
rnacentral:rRNA from 1 species